CCUGCCUUUCGGCGUGGGACAACAGUUCGAAAGGACUGCUAAUACCGCAUACGUCGUCGCUCCCUGCGGGGAAUGACGGGAAAUGAGGGCCUCUAUACUAUGCUCUCGCCGGAAGAGGGGCUCGCGUCCCAUCAGCUUGUUGGUGAGGUAAUGGCUUACCAAGGCUUAGACGGGUAGCUGGUCUGAGAGGAUGAUCAGCCACACUGGGACUGAGACACGGCCCAG
rnacentral:rRNA from 1 species